GCAUACUUAGCUCAAUGGUUAGAGCAUCACUCAUGAAUGCUACAGUUGAGGGUUCGAGUCCCACAGUAUACA
rfam:Puccinia sorghi strain RO10H11247 Scaffold_3292, whole genome shotgun sequence.